GACCUGGUGGUGAAUGGUUCACACCCACAGCUCUUGGAAGGAGACAGCCGAAUUAUGUGGGAGUUCUCGGUUCGAUUCCGGGCCAGGUCA